UACGUAGGUUGCAAGCGUUGUCCGGAUUUACUGGGCGUAAAGAGCGCGCAGGCGGUCGUUCAAGUCGCGUGUGAAAGCCCCCGGCUCAACUGGGGAGGGUCACGCGAUACUGAUCGACUCGAAGGCAGGAGAGGGAAGUGGAAUUCCCGGUGUAGUGGUGAAAUGCGUAGAUACAAUCAAGAACUCCGAUUGCGUAGGCAGCUAACUAGGCUGUAACUGACGCUGAGGCACGAAAGCGUGGGGAGCGAACAGG
rnacentral:rRNA from 1 species